GGAUCCAGACUUUGAUCAUGGCUCAGGACGAACGCUGGCGGCGUGCCUAACACAUGCAAGUCGAACGAAGCUCUGCGAUACAAGACUUCGGUCAAGUUGAACGGAUGACUUAGUGGCGGACGGGUGAGUAACGCGUGAGGAACCUGCCUUUCAGUGGGGGACAACAGUUGGAAACGACUGCUAAUACCGCAUAAUGUAUUCUGACCGCAUGAUCGGAAUACCAAAGAUUUAUUGCUGAAAGAUGGCCUCGCGUCUGAUUAGAUAGUUGGUGAGGUAACGGCUCACCAAGUCGACGAUCAGUAGCCGGACUGAGAGGUUGAACGGCCACAUUGGGACUGAGAUACGGCCCAGACUCCUACGGGAGGCAGCAGUGGGGAAUAUUGGGCAAUGGGGGAAACCCUGACCCAGCAACGCCGCGUGAAGGAAGAAGGCUUUCGGGUUGUAAACUUCUUUUACCAGGGACGAAGGACGUGACGGUACCUGGAGAAAAAGCCACGGCUAACUACGUGCCAGCAGCCGCGGUAAUACGUAGGUGGCAAGCGUUGUCCGGAUUUACUGGGUGUAAAGGGCGUGUAGGCGGAGAAGCAAGUCAGAAGUGAAAUCCAUGGGCUUAACCCAUGAACUGCUUUUGAAACUGUUUCCCUUGAGUAUCGGAGAGGCAGGCGGAAUUCCUAGUGUAGCGGUGAAAUGCGUAGAUAUUAGGAGGAACACCAGUGGCGAAGGCGGCCUGCUGGACGACAACUGACGCUGAGGCGCGAAAGCGUGGGGAGCAAACAGGAUUAGAUACCCUGGUAGUCCACGCUGUAAACGAUGAAUACUAGGUGUGGGAGGACUGACCCCUUCCGUGCCGCAGUUAACACAAUAAGUAUUCCACCUGGGGAGUACGAUCGCAAGAUUGCAACUCAA
rnacentral:rRNA from 1 species